UACGUAGGGUGCGAGCGUUAAUCGGAAUUACUGGGCGUAAAGCGUGCGUAGGCGGUUUUACAAGCUUGAUGUGAAAGCCCCGGGCUUAACCUGGGAAUGGCAUUGAGGACUGUGAGGCUAGAGUGCGGCAGAGGGAGGUGGAAUUCCACGUGUAGCAGUGAAAUGCGUAGAGAUGUGGAGGAACACCGAUGGCGAAGGCAGCCUCCUGGGCCGACACUGACGCUGAUGCACGAAAGCGUGGGGAGCAAACAGG
rnacentral:rRNA from 1 species